UUUUUAUACCUCCCUACUACUCUACCAUGCGACAUCCGCCUCCUGUGUAGCGCGGCGCGGAACUCGGAAAGUGUCGGCUGCGGCAAAAGAACUAUCAUUUCGUGGUAUCGUGGUUCAAAACACCAAGCCUUUGAUUUUCUGCC
ensembl:ncRNA F25H10.3 ncRNA